rnacentral:lncRNA from 1 species
UGUGUCGCUUAAUGAGUCAGUUAUAGUUUAUCAACUUAUCAGCUUGGGUUAAGAACGAUUUAUGUUGAUUUGAACAGAGUUGGUGUUUAGCGAAUGGGUUGUUUGAAAUAGCGUAUGAUUUUGUGUUCAUUUUGUCUGUCAUGUUUGGUUUGGUUUGUUUUGUAUAUAUAUUUGUCUGAUCUUAAGUGUUUAUUUUCUGAUUGUAUUUGUAGAUGUCAGCUUCUGAAGAUAAUGGUGACUUCCUCGCAUAAGACGUUGAAGCAUAUAUAGAUCAAGGUGGGGGAAAGAAAAGAUCUG